UGGGGAAUAUUGCACAAUGGGCGCAAGCCUGAUGCAGCCAUGCCGCGUGUAUGAAGAAGGCCUUCGGGUUGUAAAGUACUUUCAGCGGGGAGGAAGGUGUUGGGGUUAAUAACCUCAGCAAUUGACGUUACCCGCAGAAGAAGCACCGGCUAACUCCGUGCCAGCAGCCGCGGUAAUACGGAGGGUGCAAGCGUUAAUCGGAAUUACUGGGCGUAAAGCGCACGCAGGCGGUCUGUCAAGUCGGAUGUGAAAUCCCCGGGCUCAACCUGGGAACUGCAUUCGAAACUGGCAGGCUAGAGUCUUGUAGAGGGGGGUAGAAUUCCAGGUGUAGUGGUGAAAUGCGUAGAGAUCUGGAGGAAUACCGGUGGCGAAGGCGGCCCCCUGGACAAAGACUGACGCUCAGGUGCGAAAGCGUGGGGAGCAAACA
rnacentral:rRNA from 1 species